UUAGAGUUUGAUCCUGGCUCAGGAUGAACGCUAGCGGCAGGCUUAACACAUGCAAGUCGAGGGGCAGCAUGUCCAGCAAUGGAUGAUGGCGACCGGCGGAAGGGUGCGUAACGCGUGAGCAACAUGCCCUAUACAGGGAGAUACACCAGGGAAACUUGGUCUAAUAUCCCAUAGCAUUCAUUGAAGGCAUCUUUAAUGAAUUAAAGCUUCGGUGGUAUAGGAUUGGCUCGCGUGACAUUAGCCAGAUGGUGAGGUAACGGCUCACCAUAGCAAUGAUGUCUAGGGGUUUUGAGAGGAAGGCCCCCCACACUGGGACUGAGACACGGCCCAGACUCCUACGGGAGGCAGCAGUGAGGAAUAUUGGACAAUGGAUGGAAAUCUGAUCCAGCCAUGCCGCGUGCAGGAAGACGGCCUUAUGGGUUGUAAACUGCUUUUAUACGGGAGCAAUAAGGGUUACGAGUAAUCCGAUGAGAGUACUGUAUGAAUAAGGAUCGGCUAACUCCGUGCCAGCAGCCGCGGUAAUACGGAGGAUCCGAGCGUUAUCCGGAAUUAUUGGGUUUAAAGGGUGCGUAGGCGGCCAUUUAAGUCAGCGGUGAAAUUUUGCAGCUUAACUGUAACAGUGCCGUUGAUACUGUUUGGCUAGGAUUUGGUUGUAGUGUGCGGAAUGUGUGGUGUAGCGGUGAAAUGCUUAGAUAUCACACAGAACACCGAUUGCGAAGGCAGCACACUAAGUCAUUAUUGACGCUGAGGCACGAAAGUGUGGGGAUCAAACAGGAUUAGAUACCCUGGUAGUCCACACUGUAAACGAUAAUAACUCGCUGUCGGCGAUACACAGUCGGUGGCCAAGCGAAAAGCAUUAAGUUAUCCACCUGGGGAGUACGACCGCAAGGUUGAAACUCAAAGGAAUUGACGGGGGCCCGCACAAGCGGAGGAACAUGUGGUUUAAUUUGAAGCAACGCGAAGAACCUUACCUAGACUUGACAUCUCCUGCAUUACUCUUAAUCGAGGAAGUCCCUUCGGGGACAGGAUGACAGGUGGUGCAUGGUUGUCGUCAGCUCGUGUCGUGAGAUGUUGGGUUAAGUCCCGCAACGAGCGCAACCCUUAUUGUUAGUUGCCAUCAUUAAGUUGGGGACUCUAAAGAGACUGCCGGUGAUAAACCGGAGGAAGGUGGGGAUGACGUCAAAUCAUCAUGCCCCUUAUGAUCAGGGCUACACACGUACUACAAUGGCAUAUACAGAGGGCAGCGAAAUAGUGAUAUGGAGCGAAUCUCAGAAAGUAUGUCUCAGUUCGGAUUGUUGUCUGCAACUCGACUUCGUGAAGUCGGAAUCGCUAGUAAUCGCGGAUCAGCAUGCCGCGGUGAAUACGUUCUCGGGCCUUGUACACACCGCCCGUC
rnacentral:rRNA from 1 species